rnacentral:rRNA from 1 species
GACGAACGCUGGCGGCGUGCUUAACACAUGCAAGUCGAACGGAAAGGCCCUGCUUUUGUGGGGUGCUCGAGUGGCGAAAGGGUGAGUAACACGUGAGUAACCUGCCCUUGACUUUGGGAUAACUUCAUGAAACUGGGGCUAAUACCGGAUAUGAGCUCCUUCUGCAUGGGGGGGGUUGGUAAGUUUCGGCGGUUGGGGAUGGACUCGCGGCUUAUCAGCUUGUUGGUGGGGUAGUGGAUUACCAAGGCUUUGACGGGUAGCCGGCCUGAGAGGGUGACCGGCCACAUUGGGACUGGGAUGCGGCCCAGACUCAUACGGGAGGCAGCAGUGGGGAAUAUUGCACAAUGGGCGGAAGCCUGAUGCAGCAACGCCGCGUGCGGGAUGACGGCCUUCGGGUUGUAAACCGCUUUCGCCUGUGACGAAGAGUGAGUGACGGUAAUGGGUAAAGAAGCAACGGCUAACUACGUG